AUUGAACGCUGGCGGCGUGCCUAACACAUGCAAGUCGAGCGGUAGCAGGCGUAGCAAUACGUGCUGACGAGCGGCGAACGGGUGAGCAAUGCUUCGGAAUCUGCCCAAUGGUGGGGAAUAACCAGCCGAAAGGUUGGCUAAUACCGCAUACGCCCUACGGGGAAAGCAGGGGAGUCGCAAGACCUUGCGCCGAUGGAUGAGCCGAAGUCGGAUUAGCUAGUUGGUAGGGUAACGGCCUACCAAGGCGACGAUCCGUAGCUGGUCUGAGAGGACGACCAGCCACACUGGGACUGAGACACGGCCCAGACUCCUACGGGAGGCAGCAGUGGGGAAUAUUGGACAAUGGGCGAAAGCCUGAUCCAGCGACGCCGCGUGUGUGAAGAAGGCCUGCGGGUUGUAAAGCACUUUUAGUGGGGAUGAAAGGCCUAGAGCUAAUACCUCUGGGUCUUGACCUAACCCACAGAAAAAGCACCGGC
rnacentral:rRNA from 1 species